UUAAAUAUUACCCCGUUGGGAUGCAGGCUGCAGUGCCUCUGUUUAACACAGAAUCGCUCCGCUCAAAGACCAGAGCGGGUGGACAAAGGGCCAGAGGCAGACGACCCAGCUAGAGUGCUAGAGCAAAGAAUCAGAACGGCACGUGGAAUGUUGAACGGCUUUGUUCGGCUGUAUUUCGCUAAAGUCAUACCAGAUAUCCGUAUAGCUUCCUACAAGCUCUUAAACAUCAUUCGUGGCAACUCAAUUCCACAGGCGCACAUGUCGUCGUAAUUGUAUCCCUCCAAACUUUAACCAUCAGUGACUACACGUUUAAAACUUACUCUACGCAGGCCUUUGAAUUGUGUUAGCGCACCCUCUGCAUAGAGCAGCAUUUGGCAUCCCAUAAUGGCCACAUUUACUGCCAUCUAACAGUACCACAACCGUUCUCACACACAUAGAUGUGGUACUAUGUAUAUGGGCAAAAUGGAGCACAAGCAGAUCUUAUUGUUCUUGUAUGGCACAGCCAGGUAGCUUGACACCGCCCCCUGCCCUUAUAGGGCACUGCUGGGAAUAUGACACUUGGAGGUGCCAUAUAAGGGCAUGGGGAAGUGACACACCCCCAGCUGUGCCAUAUGAGGGCAUGGGGUUGUAGCACGCCAGCCCCGGGGCAUGCCACAGGAAUGAGUGAAGACCGGUUUUCCGGCUGGCUCGGGCAGUCCCAGGGUGGAUCGUCCCCAGCACUGGGCCCCAAGUGCUUCCUGAUUCAGCCCCUCCUGGAGAGGAAACGGUGGCUCGUGACACAUUUGUUCAGCUUUGGGGCUGCUGGACAGACACAUGCUGAGAGGCAGAGGGACACACACACACACACACAGAGUCACCUGUCCUGCUGCUGCUGCCUGGGGGGCAGGGGCAGGGCUGCCAGGCAUGGAGAGAGCAAAACUCCCAAGCUAACUGAAGGAGGCAGCCAUAGCUGAUCAGACGGCUCCCCUGCCCCAGAAACUAGCUCCUAGCCCACCCACCGGCCCUCCCCCGUCAUACGCCCCAGAGGCAGGGGGAUAUCAAGGCUCAAGCCACUAGCCCGGCCUGACUAUCCACCCAGGGACCUGGCAGGGACUCGGCCAGAGGGGCAAGGUUGGUGGGGGCGUUUGACGAGGCAGCCGGCCAGCUUUGAGUCAGAGUCAAUGAGCUCAUGCUGAGAGGCUGGGCCCAGCCCUAAAGAGGCACUGCCAGACCUGGACCGGGAACUCACUGGUGUGCGGACAAACAGGCAGAGGGAGACGGGUGCAGCUGGGAUCCCAGGCCAGGACCCUGCCACCAGGUGUCCCCACGGCCCCUUGCCGGGGGAGCCCUCGGUGCCCCAUGGGGGAGGAGAUGGCACUCGGCGUGGGGAACGGCUGCGCUGGGAAACCCGCAGGGGAUGAGGCAGAGACUGUGGUGAUGAUCCAGAAGGGGCCCUCGCGGCCUGAGCCGUCUUCCUGGACCCCACGUCCCCGUGCCCUCCGCAACCUGGCCAUAGGCAGCAUUGUCUGCGGCUGCUCCUGCCUGGGGGUGCUGGCCCUAAUCUAUGCUGUCAAGGCCAACGAGAAGCGGAAGACAAACUCUCCUGAUGCGGCUCUCUGGGCCCGGAAGUCCUUCCGGUUCUCCCUUCUCAGCAUCGGGGUCUGGGUGUCUCUGCUCAUCCUGGUGCCGCUGCUCAUGGGACUCAUCUCUUAUCUGAUUGCCAGGGCUGAGUGAUCUCCUGCCACAUCCUCAUUGGCUCUGAGGGAUCAGGGGGAUUCCCAGGUCUGAUUUCUCUCUCUUGGGACUGCAGGAUGGGAGUUGUCCUGGCUGCAUCUCACCACAACUGGCCUGGAAUCUCCCCAGCCCUGCCAGUUCUGGAGAAGCUCUGGCUUCUCCGUGGCUUGGGACUGAGACUUCAGAGAGACCAGGGUCGGGAGUGGGACAGGAUCGUCUGUGACUGUCUAGUCCCAGCAGAGAUAGCGAUAAAGGAACCUAAAAACAUCAAGGAAAAAUCCAAGGCUGGUAGGGCUAAGGACCAGACUGAUUCCGUUCCUAGACGGAGAUGGUAAAGCUGUUAAUAAGGAUGUACAAAAGGUGCUUUGUAUUUGGAAAGAAACAGGAUGAUGAACUCCUAUCAUAUGAGGAUGAUGAAGUACUUUCCAGCCCAUUAAUGACCGAGGAGGAUGUUAAACAACAUCUACUAAACACCUUCCAAUCACAGGCCCAGGGAACAUGUCCCCAAACGUCCUAACGAAGUUGGCCGAGGAGCUCACAGGCCUGAAAAUGUUAAUUUUUAAUAGAUGUUGGAAUGAAAUUCCAGAAGACUGGUAGAAUGCUAAUACUGUGCCAGGCAAGCAGGGUGACCAGGGGAAUUAUAGGCUGGUUAGCAUGACUUCGAUCCUGGGCGACAUAAGGGAAACGCUGAUAAGGGAUUCUGUCAACAAAGACUGAAAAGAUGUAGUUAAAAUCAGACCGCACUGUUUUAUGGAAAAUACAUUUUUGUCAGACAAAGCUGAUUUAAUUCUUUAACAAGGUUACAAAUUUGGUUGACAAAGGCAGUUGGGUAGCGGUAAUAUAUUUAGGGGUUUUGUAAGGCAGUUGACUUAGACUCACUUAACAUUCUGAUUAAAAAUAUAGCACAAUUCAACAGCAACAGAGCACAAGGGAAAUGGAUUAAGAACUGUCUGAUGGGCAGCUGUCAAUGGGGAAUUAUCCCUGAAUGGGGGUGUUUCUAGCGGGGUUCUGCAGAGAUUGGUACUUGGCCAGACACUAUUUGACAUUUUCAUCAAUGAUCUGGAAGUAAAUAAGUGUUGAUAAAUUUGCAGAGUGUCCAGCCUCUGUUCCGCUGGACACACAGAAUUCACAGACCUGCUGUUCGUAAAGAAAUGCUACACCUCAGCUUACCACAAGAUCACUGCUCUGCUUAACACCCAGCACUUCUCUUUGAUUAUGGCGAAAAGAAGUACAGUGAAAGCAAACAACAGCGAUUCAUAUAGUAGCAAGUAGGUAAAAGUAUUAGAAACAAGGGGUUACAUUUAAAACAAAAUCAUAAUAAGCCUUCUAGAGUCUAGAUUUAAAUAACAAGACACUUUCCUGAUCUAAUGAAGUUUAGGUCACCCAAAGUCUUUCUCCCAGUGAGUAACAAGCAGGCCGGCUGUGAUCUUAGUCAUAAACAGGACAACUCUCCCUAUUGUGUGGUGCUGCUUCCUGUAGAUUGUGUGAUCUCUUGUUCACUUUGCAGUCUUGAUUAGCUGGAGGCUCCAGAUGCAGAUAGAUUUACAUUGUAAGACACACAAUACACAAUGGUCAGCCAGGGAGAGAUAAGCGCCUCCGCCUUCAGUUGACCCGUCUUAACUUACACACCUUAAGACCACAAUGUUCAGUACAGAAACGUAACUUCUUAAAUAUUAUUAUCAUUUUGCAAAGAUUAAGCUGAUUAGCGGCCUACUGGCUCAGUGGAGACAUCACAUGCCCCUCCAUUGGUGAAUUAUUAUGCAUAUACCAGCCCCAGGGGAUGCCUGUAAACCUCUGUGCAUCACUUAUGUCAUCCGCCAGUUGGCACUAAGGGAUCUCUGGGUCAGAGUAAGCUCGGCCCAUUCAAACAAAAAGGGUCCUAAUGUAACGCUGACAGACCCCGGUCGUCAGUGUGCGGAAUUGAACCUGGGAGCGCUGGAGCUUAGUGCAUCAGCCUCUGAUUUAGAUGGGGAUUGGUCCUGAUUUG